AGUGAACGCUGGCGGUAGGCCUAACACAUGCAAGUCGAACGGCAGCACAGUAAGAGCUUGCUCUUACGGGUGGCGAGUGGCGGACGGGUGAGGAAUACAUCGGAAUCUACUUUUUCGUGGGGGAGAACGUAGGGAAACUUACGCUAAUAACGCAUACGACCUACGGGUGAAAGCAGGGGAUCUUCGGACCUUGCGCGAUUGAAUGAGCCGAUGUCGGAUUAGCUAGUUGGCGGGGUAAAGGCCCACCAAGGCGACGAUCCGUAGCUGGUCUGAGAGGUUGAUCCGCCACACUGGAACUGAGACACGGUCCAGACUCCUACGGGAGGCAGCAGUGGGGAAUAUUGGACAAAGGGCGCAAGCCUGAUCCAGCCAUACCGCGUGGGUGAAGAAGGCCUUCGGGUUGUAAAGCCCUUUUGUUGGGAAAGAAAAGCAGCAGGUUAAUACCCCGCUGUUCUGACGGUACCCAAAGAAUAAGCACCGGCUAACUUCGUG
rnacentral:rRNA from 1 species